rnacentral:rRNA from 1 species
AGAGUUUGAUCCUGGCUCAGAUUGAACGCUGGCGGAAUGCUUUACACAUGCAAGUCGAACGGCAGCACGGGUGCUUGCACCUGGUGGCGAGUGGCGAACGGGUGAGUAAUGCGUCGGAACGUGCCGAGUAAUGGGGGAUAACGCAGCGAAAGCUGUGCUAAUACCGCAUACGUCCUGAGGGAGAAAGCGGGGGACCGUAAGGCCUCGCGCGAUUGGAGCGGCCGAUGUUCGAUUAGCUAGUUGGUGAGGUAAAGGCUCACCAAGGCGACGAUCGAUAGCUGGUCUGAGAGGAUGAUCAGCCACACUGGAACUGAGACACGGUCCAGACUCCUACGGGAGGCAGCAGUGGGGAAUUUUGGACAAUGGGGGCAACCCUGAUCCAGCCAUUCCGCGUGAGUGAAGAAGGCCUUCGGGUUGUAAAGCUCUUUCGGCAGGAACGAAACGGCGACUACUAAUACUAGUUGCUAAUGACGGUACCUGAAGAAGAAGCACCGGCUAACUACGUGCCAGCAGCCGCGGUAAUACGUAGGGUGCGAGCGUUAAUCGGAAUUACUGGGCGUAAAGCGUGCGCAGGCGGUUUCGUAAGACAGCUGUGAAAUCCCCGGGCUUAACCUGGGAACUGCGGUUGUGACUGCGAGACUAGAGUCAGGCAGAGGGGGGUGGAAUUCCACGUGUAGCAGUGAAAUGCGUAGAGAUGUGGAGGAACACCGAUGGCGAAGGCAGCCCCCUGGGCUAUGACUGACGCUCAUGCACGAAAGCGUGGGGAGCAAACAGGAUUAGAUACCCUGGUAGUCCACGCCCUAAACGAUGCCAACUAGGUGUUGGGGAAGGAGACUUCCUUAGUACCGUAGCUAACGCGUGAAGUUGGCCGCCUGGGGAGUACGGUCGCAAGAUUAAAACUCAAAGGAAUUGAUGG